ACUUCUUGGCAUAUAUGAUUCUCUUUGUCAAGGAACUUUUCUUGACAAAACAAAUAUUCAAGAGUUAGUGCGAAAUCCUAUCAAGACUAACACUUCACUCAAUUGGUUCUUGUUGGUCUCUGUCUUCUGCAAGACAUCACAACUUACCAAUUUCAAAUGUGCAGGAAUAAGAAUACUUUUUCCAAUUCCACAUUUGUUGAGUGUUUUAAACCUACUAAUUACGUGUCACUCAAUUCGCAAUCUUGGAGUAUGACUCUAAGACUCGAUAUUGGAACGAAGUAUGAUUGACUUCUUGAUUUAACCAUUUCCUCAAUUCUUGAUUCCUCUUCUUAGACAUACAAAUAUACUAAGACUCACUUAGAGGAUCAAUUGAGAUAUGGUUCUUAAUCAUUAAGACUUAUCAUAAAACACAAUAAAAGGUACUCUCCCUUCUUCUUAGAAUAGAGAAACUUUUAUCUUUCUGCCUACUUGAUUCUUCUUAUUCGUUCUGCUAUUUACUGAAACUCUUCCAAUGAACUCAGAAUUAUAAGCAUAACCAUAUUUAGUAAACUUUAGUAAAUCAUGACGAAUAUCUUUAUCAGUCUUGUGGCGGAUUUGAUCAACGCACAACCUAGUGUACUCGAUCUCCUAGUCCUUCACUUGACACUUUGUCAAAGAAUUAGUCUAAUUUCCAAAUAUGAAGUUUCCCAUUCAUCACACAACCAAGUUGUAUGAUUCCAAGUUUCUGUCCAAUUGAAACUAGGGCGAUGAGAAACUCUCCCUAUUUGGUAAACUUUUGACAUUACCACAAAUAGCAAAACAAAGAAUCACAUCCAAUUCAACAUUGCUAAAAACAGAAAUACAAACACCCAGUUUCACACACAUGCCAUUGCAAGUAGUAGCUCCUGUUAGGGCCUAAAUGUUGUAAUAGUCGAAGUGUCAGUUAGAUUGUUACGAAGUUUAUUUUGUCUUCGUAAGAAGGAGUCUUCGGAUGUAAUGUUAUUUGUACUAAGGCAUUAUAAAGAGUAGUCUUAAUGUCUAGUCCUUAGUAUUGUUAUGCUUUUGUUCUCCUAUAAAUAGGGGUCUGUACUAAGUGAGUAGAACAACUUUUUACUCAGCUUUUACAGAUUAUUCUUUGUACUCUGUAAAAUCAAAAGCAUAAUAUGAGCUGAACAAAUAUUAUAUUUACUCUGGUGUUCAUCGUUAUUUCUUUUUCUAAAUUCAUACUUGAAUUGAUUUUAAACUCGAUUACAAAUCUCAUCAAUUGGUAUCAGAGCAGGAAUCCUUUCUGUGAUCUGAUUUUCAUACGUUCAAAAAGAUUUUUGAAUCUACUGUUUGAUUCAAAAAGUUUCCGUUCUUUUUGAGUGUGAAAAAUUCUUCUUGAUCUCAAUCUAGGAUUUGAUUCUGCAAAAAUAUUUGUAAAUCGAGUGUUCUUUGUGUGAUUCUGAUUUGAAAUAUACAAUUUGCUUUCAAUAUUCUCAAAGUUUUUGUAUCAUCUUGAAGUUUUUGUCCGUACAACAAUGGCGUCAUUCAAUCUGAAUUCGAUGACAUCAUUUUCUCAUUUGCUUGGAUCAUCCACAAAAAUUCCGAUGCUUAUUCCAGAAUAUUAUGAUCAGUGGGCAGAUCGCAUGCAAGAUUACUUGAACGGAUUGGAUGAAGAAUUAUGGAAAUGCAUCUCAGGAGAAAUCAAUCAACCUGCACAAGUUCAGCCAAUCGGUAUGUCUUCAAGCAGUUCGGAAGUCAAUGAUCAAACCAAUCGUUUAAAACAACUGGAGAAGAAAUGCAUGAGGGAAUUAAGAGGUGCUUUGCCUCCUGUUGUGUACAAUUAUGUCAGAACAUGCACAACAGCUAAAGAAAUCGGGAACAAUCUCAAAGACAAAUUUCAAGGAAGUGAAAAGAUGAAGAUCACAUCUGUGAAACAAUGCCUGGUGGAACUCAAAGAUUUCAAACAAAAAGAAUCUGAGUCUAUUGAAGUAUACUAUGAUCGGUUCAACGAACUAAUCUAUCGUUGUAAUCGUUAUAGUAUUACAAGGUCAUCAAUGGAAUAUAACUUGAUAUUUGUAAUGGGACUUCGAAAGGAGUGGAGGAGUGUAAGUAUGAUGGUGAAAAAUCAACAGAGUUUUGAUACUUCGACUUUAAAUGACUUGUACAAUCAAUUAAAAUCUCAUGAAAAUGAGGUUAAUGAAAUAGCUGAGGAAGCAAUAGCAAGUCUUGGUGGACCAUUGGCACUUGUUUCGAAGGCUUCAGAAAGAGAGAAUGAAAAAUCGAAGUCUGAUGAAGAAGAAGGUUUUCUGAUGAAUUCUGAUGAUGAGGCUGUUGCAUUUUACUCAAACAAUCGAGUAAAGAAAUUUUUUAAGAAACCUUUUAAUCCAAAGAAGUCAUCAGAUUCGAAGGGUAGUUUUGAGAACAAAAAUAAAGUGGAUGAAAAGAAGAAAGAAAUGAAGACAGAUUCGAAGAGUGAAAUGGAGCAAAUGAAGAUGAUGUUGAAAGGUGAUACAUGGAUUAAUUGUCAUUAUUGCUAUGGAGCAAAUCACUUGGCAGUAGAUUGCUUGUUGAGGAAGAAGGAGGAAAAGAAAAAUAAAACAAAGGAUGAAGCGUAUCUAAGCUUCUUGAACUCAUACACCUUUGCCUUAGAAAGCUCACAUGUGUGUCUAAAGAAAUUUAGAGCUUAUGUUACUAAGUCCCAAAUGUUCAGACCAAUUGCCAAAUCUCACAAUUCGAACUAUGAAAAGGGAUUCUGUAAUCAUAAUCAAAUUUGAGAAUACAAUUUUCACAAUUGCAAUCUUCUUAAAAUCUCUCUUAGUGAAAGCAUUUCCUCACAAUCAUUUUCAUGAAGGAGAUAAACCUUAUGACACUUAGAUUUUAAAGUGUAUGUGUUCCUAUCCAUGUGAAUUUGUCAUAACAACAAUCAUAAGACAAUGUUUGUGACAAAUCCAACUCAUAUAGAUUGAACUUGUUCAAUCUUGAUUUUUCGCCUUAUGGCAACAUGAAUGCCCACCAUUGCUUCCAGGUUGUUAAGCAUCUCACCCUUACCUUAUCAAUGUACUUUCCAUUGAUCAGGGUGCCUUGCCAUUAUGCAAUCCAAUUGAGAACUCACAGAGCUCAUAUUGCAUAGUUGACUUAAUUUGGAAUGGCACAGAAACAAAAUUAUGUCAACACGAUAGGUCGCCAACCUCAAGUCGUGUGCUUGUGAUUAACUAUCGGUUUAUUCUUGAUUAGCUCUUGAACUUUUCAAGACAAUUAAGACUCCCACUGACUUCUUGGCAUAUAUGAUUCUCUUUGUCAAGGAACUUUUCUUGACAAAACAAAUAUUCAAGAGUUAGUGCGAAAUCCUAUCAAGACUAACACUUCACUCAAUUGGUUCUUGUUGGUCUCUGUCUUCUGCAAGACAUCACAACUUACCAAUUUCAAAUGUGCAGGAAUAAGAAUACUUUUUCCAAUUCCACAUUUGUUGAGUGUUUUAAACCUACUAAUUACGUGUCACUCAAUUCGCAAUCUUGGAGUAUGACUCUAAGACUCGAUAUUGGAACGAAGUAUGAUUGACUUCUUGAUUUAACCAUUUCCUCAAUUCUUGAUUCCUCUUCUUAGACAUACAAAUAUACUAAGACUCACUUAGAGGAUCAAUUGAGAUAUGGUUCUUAAUCAUUAAGACUUAUCAUAAAACACAAUAAAAGGUACUCUCCCUUCUUCUUAGAAUAGAGAAACUUUUAUCUUUCUGCCUACUUGAUUCUUCUUAUUCGUUCUGCUAUUUACUGAAACUCUUCCAAUGAACUCAGAAUUAUAAGCAUAACCAUAUUUAGUAAACUUUAGUAAAUCAUGACGAAUAUCUUUAUCAGUCUUGUGGCGGAUUUGAUCAACGCACAACCUAGUGUACUCGAUCUCCUAGUCCUUCACUUGACACUUUGUCAAAGAAUUAGUCUAAUUUCCAAAUAUGAAGUUUCCCAUUCAUCACACAACCAAGUUGUAUGAUUCCAAGUUUCUGUCCAAUUGAAACUAGGGCGAUGAGAAACUCUCCCUAUUUGGUAAACUUUUGACAUUACCACAAAUAGCAAAACAAAGAAUCACAUCCAAUUCAACAUUGCUAAAAACAGAAAUACAAACACCCAGUUUCACACACAUGCCAUUGCAAGUAGUAGCUCCUGUUAGGGCCUAAAUGUUGUAAUAGUCGAAGUGUCAGUUAGAUUGUUACGAAGUUUAUUUUGUCUUCGUAAGAAGGAGUCUUCGGAUGUAAUGUUAUUUGUACUAAGGCAUUAUAAAGAGUAGUCUUAAUGUCUAGUCCUUAGUAUUGUUAUGCUUUUGUUCUCCUAUAAAUAGGGGUCUGUACUAAGUGAGUAGAACAACUUUUUACUCAGCUUUUACAGAUUAUUCUUUGUACUCUGUAAAAUC
rnacentral:lncRNA from 1 species